rnacentral:rRNA from 1 species
ACGGAGGGGGCUAGCGUUGUUCGGAAUUACUGGGCGUAAAGGGCGCGUAGGCGGUUUGGUAAGUUAGGCGUGAAAGGCCCGGGCUCAACCCGGGAACUGCGCUUAAGACUGCCGGGCUGUGAGUCCGGGAGAGGAUGGCGGAAUUCCCAGUGUAGAGGUGAAAUUCGUAGAUAUUGGGAAGAACACCAGUGGCGAAGGCGACACCCUGGGCCGUACCUGACGCUAAGACGCGACAGCACGGGGAGCGAACGG